UACGUAGGGGGCAAGCGUUGUCCGGAAUCAUUGGGCGUAAAGAGCGCGUAGGCGGUCCGGUAAGUCCGCUGUGAAAGUCAAGGGCUCAACCCUUGGAUGCCGGCGGAUACUGUCGGGCUAGAGUCCGGAAGAGGCGAGUGGAAUUCCUGGUGUAGCGGUGAAAUGCGCAGAUAUCAGGAGGAACACCGAUGGCGAAGGCAGCUCGCUGGGACGGUACUGACGCUGAGGCGCGAAAGCGUGGGGAGCAAACAGGAUUAGAAACCCCCGUAGUCC
rnacentral:rRNA from 1 species